UACGUAGGGUGCGAGCGUUAAUCGGAAUUACUGGGCGUAAAGCGUGCGCAGGCGGCUUCGAAAGCUAGGUGUGAAAGCCCCGGGCUCAACCUGGGAACUGCAUUUAGGACUGCGAAGCUCGAGUGCGGCAGAGGGAGGUGGAAUUCCACGUGUAGCAGUGAAAUGCGUAGAGAUGUGGAGGAACACCGAUGGCGAAGGCAGCCUCCUGGGCCGACACUGACGCUCAUGCACGAAAGCGUGGGGAGCAAACAGG
rnacentral:rRNA from 1 species